UUGGCCUACGGGACGCAGCAGUGGGGAAUAUUGCACAAUGGGCGAAAGCCUGAUGCAGCAACGCCGCGUGAAGGAAGAAGGGUUUCGGCUCGUAAACUUCUAUCAACAGGGACGAAAGAAAUGACGGUACCUGAAUAAGAAGCCCCGGCUAACUACGUGCCAGCAGCCGCGGUAAUACGUAGGGGGCAAGCGUUAUCCGGAAUUACUGGGUGUAAAGGGUGAGUAAGCGGCAUGGUAAGCCAGAUGUGAAAGCCUUGGGCUUAACCCGCGGAUCGCAUUUGGAACUAUCAAGCU
rnacentral:rRNA from 1 species